ensembl:lncRNA
UAGUUUUGAUGCCUUCAGGGAGAAUCUACAAUGUAAAUAGUCAUGAAAAUAAAGAAAACACAUUGAAAAAGAGAACGUGUGUUCAAAAUGUUGCCCUGUACUGUAGAGAAUAGCUAGAAUUUAGUACAACACUGGGUAAUGUUAGUACUUUAAAGCAGUUAUUUAACCCUGGUCACUGCCCUAAAAUUGUGUUUUUCACCUGAUCCAACUGAUCAGCUAAUUAACAAUCCUUUAUUGAGUUUACCUGUUAAAAUGUUUUAGCCCCAAAAGGAUCAUAAAUCAAUCAUUAUGUAAAUCCCGCAGUGUAUUAGACAUUUGUAUUUUACAGUAACACCACAGUAAGACCACAAAUCAACCGGUUAUAAUUUUAAGUUGUAAGAUGUGUUUCUGUAUGGUGUUUUUAAAUUCAUGCUCGAUUUGCCCCCUUUUAAUUUUGAGUAUCAGCCCCUCCAAAGGUCUCUGCAUGGCCCUUUAGAAGAUAAUACAAAUAUUAUUUUCCCUACAUAAAAACUCAAUACAAUACAAAGUGUAUUAAACUGUUAUUAUAGAGAGAUGUUAUUAUAGAGAGAUGAUAGAAUUUGACUACAGUGAGGACGAAGUGCCCUUUAUUAUUGCGCAUAGAGUUCUAGAGAACAUUAGAGAGAAGUACAUGGGGUGUCUUGAACAAUUGCGUGCAUCACCCAUUAGAUUGCCGCCAAAAAGGCAGAGUGUACCAUGCGAUGUUCAAGCCCCACAGGCUGUAGUGGAACAGGAGGCUGUUGAGCCUCCAAAACCAUCAAAAGCGGACAUUCAGGCUGCUCGUGAGAAGGAGGUCAACUGGCCCACAUUAUUAUUCGAGGAGUUCUGUAAAAUCGAUUGUGACAGGAUGCUCAACCUUCUCUGCGGCGAAAAGGACGAUGGGUCUUUUCGUGUCACUCAUUCUGUCAGAGAGAGUAUUAGAAAGAGGCACAAGGAGCAUCUUGAACAAUUGUGCAUCUUGGCCAACAUUUCAACCAGCACUCUCGAGAAGAAGUGUGUUCAACAACCUGGACCAUCCCUUAAAUGGCUUCCAUUAAAGAAGAGUGCGCCAUGCAAAGUUCAAGCCCCAAAGGUUGUGGUGAAACAGGAGGCUGUUAAGUUUUCUGUUCUUCACACCCCCGUCCCAUCACCAAAACCUGGAGAGGAGAACCAAUCGGCCUACUACACCUUACAGGGUAGCAAGAUACCUCACCUAGAUAGGCGGAGGCAGCGGAGACCAGAGGAUACCCAGCCAGAGGAGGAGAAAAAACUUUCGGCCUACCACAGUUCUACUCCAGGUAGCAAGAUACCUCGCCUAGAUAAGCAGAGGGAGCGGAGACCAGAGGCUACCCAGCCAGAGGAGGAGAAAGUUCAAGCCCCAAAGGUUGUGGUGAAACAAGAGGCUGUUAAGUUUACUGUUCUCCACACCCCCGUCUGUUCAAGACCCUUCCCUACCCAGCCAGCGGAGGAGGAUGAGAAACAAUCGGCCUACUACACCUCACCAGGUAGCAAGAUACCUCGCCUAGAUAAGCAGAGGGAGCGGAGACCAGAGGCUACCCAGCCAGAGGAGGAGAAAGUUCAAGCCCCAAAGGUUGUGGUGAAACAAGAGGCUGUUAAGUUUACUGUUCUCCACACCCCCGUCUGUUCAAGACCCUUCCCUACC